UUGAACGCUGGCGGCAUGCCUUACACAUGCAAGUCGAACGGCAGCACGGGAGCAAUCCUGGUGGCGAGUGGCGAACGGGUGAGUAAUAUAUCGGAACGUGCCCAAUCGUGGGGGAUAACGCAGCGAAAGCUGUGCUAAUACCGCAUACGAUCUACGGAUGAAAGCGGGGGACCUUCGGGCCUCGCGCGAUUGGAGCGGCUGAUGUCGGAUUAGCUAGUUGGUGGGGUAAAGGCCUACCAAGGCGACGAUCCGUAGCGGGUCUGAGAGGAUGAUCCGCCACACUGGGACUGAGACACGGCCCAGACUCCUACGGGAGGCAGCAGUGGGGAAUUUUGGACAAUGGGGGCAACCCUGAUCCAGCCAUGCCGCGUGAGUGAAGAAGGCCUUCGGGUUGUAAAGCUCUUUCAGACGGAAAGAAAACGCAUCGGUGAAUACCCGGUGUGGAUGACGGUACCGUAAGAAGAAGCACCGGCUAACUACGU
rnacentral:rRNA from 1 species